CUAAAGAUAGCACGUAAAACGCUGAGAUGAACCAAAGAGUUCUCUAAACA
rnacentral:tRNA from 1 species